rnacentral:lncRNA from 1 species
GUGAAAACAAACUGGUGCCGUGACAUGACCACGCAACACGAUCAAACAAUUCUGACAGAACACUGUCAUACUGAUUAACGUCCGUGGAGGCAGACAACUCUGAGACAUAGCACUCUAGCUAUACGCUAGCAUUAGAAGGCGCUGCUUCAGUUGUCUCCCUAGCAGGAGUCACUUCAGUCUGUCUACGCUUUGGUGCUAUCACAGAUGACUUCUUGUCCCCAUUGUAAGGUGGACGGUUUGCAAGAACUAGAUAGUACCCAGGGAACCCACUCUCCUCCCUUGGGAAGAGACUGUU